rnacentral:misc_RNA from 1 species
GAUGAAGAACGUAGCGAAAUGCGAUAAGUAAUGUGAAUUGCAGAAUUCAGUGAAUCAUCGAAUCUUUGAACGCACAUUGCGCCCGCCAGUAUUCUGGCGGGCAUGCCUGUUCGAGCGUCAUUUCAACCAUCAAGCCCCCGGCUUGUGUUGGGGACCUGCGGCUGCCGCAGGCCCUGAAAACCAGUGGCGGGCUCGCUAGUCACUCCGAGCGUAGUAAUACAUCUCGCUCAGGGCGUGCUGCGGGUUCCGGCCGUUAAAAAGCCUUAUUUACCCAAGGUUGAACUCGGAUCAGGUAGGAAGACCCGCUGAACUUAAGCAUAUCAAUAAGCGGAGGA